rnacentral:rRNA from 1 species
GUACACUCCUACGGGAGGCAGCAGUGGGGAAUUUUGGACAAUGGGCGAAAGCCUGAUCCAGCAAUGCCGCGUGAGUGAAGAAGGCCUUCGGGUUGUAAAGCUCUUUUGUCAGGGAAGAAACGGUGAAAGCUAAUAUCUUUUGCUAAUGACGGUACCUGAAGAAUAAGCACCGGCUAACUACGUGCCAGCAGCCGCGGUAAUACGUAGGGUGCAAGCGUUAAUCGGAAUUACUGGGCGUAAAGCGUGCGCAGGCGGUUUUGUAAGUCUGAUGUGAAAUCCCCGGGCUCAACCUGGGAAUUGCAUUGGAGACUGCAAGGCUAGAAUCUGGCAGAGGGGGGUAGAAUUCCACGUGUAGCAGUGAAAUGCGUAGAUAUGUGGAGGAACACCGAUGGCGAAGGCAGCCCCCUGGGUCAAGAUUGACGCUCAUGCACGAAAGCGUGGGGAGCAAACAGGAUUAGAAACCCUGGUAGUCCCAU